rnacentral:tRNA from 1 species
GGUUCAGUGGUCUAAUGGUUAUGAUUUCUGUCUCGCACACAGAAGGUUCCCAGUUCGAUCCUGGGCUGAACCA